CCUACGGGAGGCAGCAGUGGGGAAUAUUGGACAAUGGGGGAAACCCUGAUCCAGCGACGCCGCGUGAGUGAAGAAGUAUUUCGGUACGUAAAGCUCUAUCAGCAGGAAAGAAAAUGACGGUACCUGACUAAGAAGCCCCGGCUAACUACGUGCCAGCAGCCGCGGUAAUACGUAGGGGGCAAGCGUUAUCCGGAUUUACUGGGUGGAAAGGGAGCGUAGACGGCAGCGCAAGUCUGGAGUGAAAUGCCGGGGCCCAACCCCGGAACUUCUCGGGAAACUGUGAAGCUGGAGUGCAGGAGAGGGAAGCGGAAUUCCUGGUGUAGCGGUGAAAUGCGUAGAUAUCAGGAGGAACACCGGCGGCGAAGGCGGCUUACUGGACUGUAACUGACGUUGAGGCUCGAAGGCGUGGGGAGCAAACAGGAUUAGAUACCCGUGUAGUC
rnacentral:rRNA from 1 species